rnacentral:lncRNA from 10 species
GCUACUCUCUGUCUAUGGGGUAGCCCUGCUCUGCGGGAGCGGUCACGGAGCUGUAACACGGCCUCUUCAAUAAAGCCGUUUUCCUUCUACCUCUGGCUUGCCCUUGAAUUCUUUCCUGGGCAAAGCCAAGAACCCAGGCGCUAAGCUGCACUUUGGGGCUCGCCUGCCUGGCAUCACUACUGCUGCUCGGCUCACCCACCUUGGAAUGGUGGAGGUCUCUCUUUGCUUCUCUCAGUUUCUAUCCCCCCAAAGACUAGGAGUGCUCUUUGGCCCAGGAAGUACGUGGUCUGUGGAGUUGUAAGACUUCCAAGGACACUACAGGGAAAGAGGGCAGAUGUAAAAUAAAAUUCGUCUGA